rnacentral:rRNA from 1 species
CUUCAAAUGGCUCGGACCGGAGUUGGCAUGUUCUAUGUCUAUGUCCUGAGAUCGGAAGGCCGAUUUUAUGUCGGUUACACCGCAGACCUCAGGCGCAGGCUGAUAGAGCACAACAAUGGAUCGAACAUCUCCACCCGCGGCGCAGAAUGGCAACUCGUCUAUGCGAGGCCUAUCUGACCCGGGACGCUGCGCAGCAUCGCGAACAAGUCCUCAAGGGCGACGGAAGAACCCGUCGUGCAUUGAUGGACCGUGUCCGCCGGAUGCUCGAAACGCAGCGGCAGGAGCCAUUUGAUGGCGGGGAGUGGCAGACGGGUGAGUAACGCGUGGGAAUCUACCCAGAUCUUCGGAACAACCCAGGGAAACUUGGGCUAAUACCGGAUACGCCCUACGGGGGAAAGAUUUAUCGGUUCUGGAUGAGCCCGCGUUGGAUUAGCUAGUUGGUGAGGUAACGGCUCACCAAGGCUCCGAUCCAUAGCUGGUCUGAGAGGAUGAUCAGCCACACUGGGACUGAGACACGGCCCAGACUCCUACGGGAGGCAGCAGUGGGGAAUAUUGGGCAAUGGGCGAAAGCCUGACCCAGCCAUGCCGCGUGAGUGAUGAGGCCUUAGGGUUGUAAAGCUCUUUCAGUGGGGAGAUAAUGACGGUACCCACAGAAGAAGC